AAGACUUCAGAAGGGUUUGAUGUCACUUCCUCCAGCUGCUCGUCAACAAGGUACAUCUGCAGCAGACUGUAGAGCUCUUCUUUUCUCCCACAACCAGCAUAAACCAGUAUGUUCUGUGCUAUAAUAAGUCUGAAUUUCCUGCUUUACUGGACAUCAGAAGAGAUGCAGUUCUUAUUUUCCUCAUAUGGGGGCGCUGUGCUGUUUAAACAUGUGGGAAACCUGAUCGCGUUUUACUACAACAGACACUGCUGCAAAUCUGCUCAAUAGACAUUCAGACGAUCAUCAUGAUCCGAGCUGCCAGUAUUAUAUGGGUUUUAAUGAUAUGUCCUGGAGGUUUUUCUCAGAGUAAUCCUGUUAAACAGAAUCCUCCUGAUCUCUUUGGCAAUCAUCAACAAUCUGUUAAAAUCCAGUGUGAGCACAGUGUACCAAGUUAUAAUCAAAUCUAUUGGUACAGACAAGACCAGGGACUGACCUUUAUUGGAUACCAGUGGGGUACAUCUUCAACACAAAUCGAAAAUGAUUUUACGUCUAAAGUGGAGAUUGUUGGGGAUGGAAACAAAAACGUCUCUUUGAACAUUAAAAAUCUUUUAUCCAAUGACAGUGCAGUGUACUUCUGUGCUGCUUAUUACACAGUGCUGCAUAUCUGCUUUAUUCAGUACAAAAACCUCUGUGUAAAUAUUCUCAGUAUCUCAUUAACACCUGCUCCUGUGGCCUGGAAUUGACACAUUGCCAGUGUUUUUAACAGAAAAGCCACACAUACAUUAUUACAGGCAAUUAUACUAUUGGUAUUAAAUCUAAUCUAUAAACGGUUCUAUAAACUUCAAACCUGCCUUUAAUAAUGUUAUACAAAUUGUAAGUUUAACUGUAAUAAAUUACAUCAUUUUCUUGUAUCCAAGUAACUUUUAGGUCAAGCAGAGAUCAGUCAAACUUUUGGUUUGUUUGAAUCUGAUUUUCCCGAAUCAGAUGUUCCUCCCUCUCCCAUAUAGAGGAGUUUCUCAGAUUCACAGAUUCUCAGAAGAUACACAUGCUGCCAUUGUCUCAGAUGAAGAGCCAAGAUGAACAUCAUUCUCAUUUUUUUAACUGCAUUAUUCAUUAGCCAUAUUAGAAAA